CAUACAUUUAAAAAAAAAUAAUAAUUGUACUGGCCCCCCGUGGGAAUCGAACCCACAACCCUGGCGUUGCACACACCAUGCUCUACAAACUGAGCCACAGGUAAGACUUGCCCUGGAGGUAGGUUGGCAUUUAUUGUCAUGAAUCUUGCCCUGGAGGCAGGUUGGCAUUUAUUGUCAUGAAUCUUGCCCUGGAGGCAGGUUGGCAUUUAUUGUCAUGAAUCUUGCCCUGGAGGCAGUUCAGCAAAGUGGUUACUAGCUGGCACAGGCACAAAGUAAUACAAUCCAAUUUUAAUCCUAACCUCAACCCUAACCACACUGCUAAUCCUUCCCUUAAAUUAAGACCAUAAAACAACAUUUUCCACAGCCAAUUCUGACUUUGCAGCUG
rnacentral:tRNA from 1 species